AUACAUAUUUAUACAGUUAUCUUGCUGCACAAGAAAAAUCGGAUCAAGAAGGAAGAAAAAACUGAGAAAGAAAACAAAAUGCAAGCAAACAACGAAGAGAGUGAGAAUUUAGCCGAAACUUCUAAUCCCACAACUGAGUAAAAAUGAUUUUUGGAUCACAAGAACCUUGAGCCUGUUCAACAGGGGCCUGGAAAUAAGAGAAUUUAGUCUUGGUGCAUUUUCUCUAUAUUAGGAUGAACUCUUCAUAUAGUUUCCAUUAUCUGCAAGUUCAAGGGAGCUGGUUGUGCAGUGGCAAGAGACCGGGAUAUAGAGUCAAGAGGGAUGAAUUUUAAAUCAAGCUCACACAGUCUCUAACUGUGUGCUCUUAGUCUUGGCAUUAGAUUGACCACUCAUCUGCCAGCUGCCAAAGGUAGUACCUUCCCUAUUGAGCUUAUCCGCUUUGGUGAAAGAGCCACCAUCCCUUGGAGUUCGGUCCUUCCCUUGCCACAUGGUUGGGUCAGUUUUGUUUUCUGCCCUGGAAGGUGACAAAGCUGGCUACAGAACCAGACUUACACACUGGCUAAAGGAUCCACAUGCCUCUCUCUGAACAGUAUUCUGAGGGAUUCUGGACAAGCUAGCAUGUCUGCCUGGCAAGCUAAAAGGCUAAGAAGUCUACCUCUGUGAAACCAGGUUCCUUCAGAUGGAAAAGAAUUCCCAAGAUGGCCCAUUCCUUUGAUGUCCUGAGCAGAAGAGCUCUCCCAUGGAAGCAAGAGGAGUCUUGUGUACUCAAUGUAAGGAACUCUAGUGACCUUACAAAAGGUCCCUUUUAGGCUAUACUUAAGUAAAUCUCCUUUUACUUGUGAAAUAACCCCGGAGUGUCAUUAUUGCUUAAAAUCUAACCUGACUAUUGACUUGAGGAGGUUCCAUCAUUAUGUUUGCCCAGGCCCUGCUGCAGCUUAUAGCAGUCACAUGAAGCAUGGUGGCACACUAAGGUGACUCUCAGUCCUCUCUUUAUUCCCUGUUGGUCUCAUGUUCCCUGCCAGAUAAUGGCACUCUGCAUAGGGGGGACCAAAUGAAAGGAAUAUGGGAGAUUUUCAGGCUACUUAGUGUACCUUCCAAGGUUACAGGUGUACCUCAUCUCCAACUUUCCAGCUUGACAUUAACAUUAAACAGUACCUAGGAGUAACAAUCUGCUUGUCUAACAAACUAUUGUAACAAAUUGCUUAUGGUAACAGUCACAAAGGGGGGCAGUUAGCAGUAACAAUCACUUUCUCUAACAGAGUUGUAACAAACUGUUCAUGCUAACAGUCACAAAUUGGAGCAAUUAGUAACAAUCAGCUUCUCUAACAAGUUGUAACAAACUGCUUAUGGUAACAGUCACAAGUGGGGGCAAUUAUUAGCAGUAACAAUGGGCUUCUGGAGUCACAAAUAGCAUAUUUCAUUAUGCAUUGUCCACCAAGAUACCUUAAAUUCAUCUCAAGCUUGUCUCUCAUCCCUGUCAGGGAAGGUGCUGAAUCAAUUCUUUGAAUUUUGAGCCUUAUAGAGAGCCAGUAAUUGUGGCCUGAUUAAGACCUGAACCGGAGUCUUUCUAUACAUGGACUUACUCAGUACUGGCCCUCUAGAGUUUACUGAUGGGCCCAGUUUUCUUGACAAUAGGAGGAGAUAGGCAGGUGAUUCUGAUGAGCCUCAAUGGUACCCAGAAACUAAGCCAUGGGCCCCAUUCCACCCCCCACCCCCACGGACUUUUGCCCAGAAACCUGAACUCAUAGCCCUUACCAGGGCUUUAAAAUUGUUGAAAGGAAUUAGAGUGAACACUUAAUUGACUGAUUCCAAAUAUGCCUUUAAUGUUUUGCAUGCUCAUGGAGCUAUACAGAAAGAAAAGGAUCUUUUGACAGCCAAACAUCCCCCCACUAAGGAUACAGGGGGAAUUCUACAAUUACUGUGUGUGUUGUGUGUGUAUAAGAGAGAGAGGAGGGUGGGGGGUAAGAGGGCCAGGAGGUAAGAAUUCAUUUUAGGUUUUGAUACAGCAGCUUGGCUCACCAACUUCCCAUUUCUAUAUACAAUAGCAGAAUCAUACUUAUUAUUAUAUAUUAUAUAUAUAUAUAUAAUAUAUUAUAUUAUAUUAUCAUAAGAAACCUGGCCACUGAAGCAAAAUGCACACUCAGCUAUAUAAUGGAUCAAAGACUUACCUUUGAUCUUAGGACAGGAAAAAAACAGCCCACAAUGAAGACUAAAGGCAUUUGGGGAAAAGGUAAAUGAGGAUAUUGGUAUGAUAAUUUUACUCUGAUGUGUACCUCAACUGUUUACAUCUCUGUCCAAGUAGCCUAGAUCUGGGCUUAAUCAUUAGCAUCUCAGUAGAUUGUGCUUAUUAGAAAAGAUAUAGGAAUAUCAGAGUGUAUUUUGUAUCAUGCCUAUAAGCAUUGGAAGUAUAUAUAUUUGUCUCUUUAAUAAAUAAAAUUUGAAAAGUU